rnacentral:siRNA from 1 species
UGACCGCCCAUUAUGUUGAUGA